rnacentral:rRNA from 1 species
AGUGAAUAGAUACCCCGGUAGUCCACGCCGUAAACGAUGAUUACUCGAUGUUGGUGAUACACAAAUCAGCGUCUAAAGCGAAAGCAAUAAGUAAUCCACCUGGGGAGUACGAUCGCAAGGUUGAAACUCAAAGGAAUUGACGGGGGCCCGCACAAGCGGAGGAGCAUGUGGUUUAAUUCGAUGAUACGCGAGGAACCUUACCUGGGCUUGAACGUAUUUUGACCGAUGCCGAAAGGUGUCUUCUCUUCGGAGCAAUUUACGAGGUGCUGCAUGGCUGUCGUCAGCUCGUGCCGUGAGGUGUCGGGUUAAGUCCCAUAACGAGCGCAACCCCUAUUAUUAGUUGCCAUCAGGUAAUGCUGGGCACUCUAAUGAAACUGCCUACGCAAGUAGUGAGGAAGGUGGGGAUGACGUCAAGUCAGCACGGCCCUUACGCCCAGGGCUACACACGUGCUACAAUGGCCGGUACAGAGGGCAGCUACCAGGUGACUGGAUGCAAAUCUCUAAAAA